CCCCCCCCCCCCGCUGGAGCCGCCGUCGGAGCUGCCCUUCGCCGCAGGCCGCCGCCGUGCCGCUCGCCGCUGUUCCUCUUCUGCUUCACGUGAGACUACUGGUGCACGGGCGGGAGGAUUUCCCUAGCCCUGCCCCGUCCUCUCAUCUCUCGAUCUGAUUGAAGCCACGGCCCGGGAAUGGCAGCUGUCGGCCGUGGCCGACAUGCGGAAGGCGCCCUCCAUUGAGUGGCGGUGGGUGUCCGCGGGGAGGAGGAGGAUGACAAGCUGGAGGCCCCGCGGCCGUCGGGGCGGCGGGAAGGGGCUGCAGCUUCGAGUUCGAGGACGAGGAGGACAACGUCGACUACGAGGACGAGGAGCAGCAGAAGGCCAGGAAACUCCUGUCACGCACGGCCACCGCCAAACUGCCUCGCGGCCACCCCCGUCCGCUGGUGGCGAUCUUUGUGCCUCCAACCGAUGGCGAUGACCAUGCCUUUUUCAUGGAGCAGACGAUAUUGGAUCUGAGUUCGUGAAGGAGGAGCAAAUGGAUAUUUGGAUUUGUGUUGCUCCUUAUUAAUAUAUGUACAAACGUGUUUUCUUCAGGUGCAAUGACACCGUGGCAGCCAUGGAGAAUAUAUGCAUGAAGCCGUGAGCAGUAAGCAGCUUAGCUAUUUAUUAUUGUUGGCCUUUUAAGUUUGAUAGUAUUGCUGGAUUACCUGCAUAUUAGAUGAUGAAUAGCUUGAGAAAAGCAAACCUUAUCAGUUCUAAAAUGUGCUGUUUUUUAGCAUAACUAAUCGUCGUGUGCUUAUACCAAUUAUACACUGCUAGAUAGACAUGCAUAAGUAUGCAGGUUGACGCAUAAGUCAUUUUACAGUAUGAUGAUGGUGACAAUCAACUAAGCUUCAACAACUUAUAACUGCAUGGCGAGUGGUCGAAUGCAUGCCUCCCCACACCUCUGUCGAUCCUUUUUUUUCUGGUAUAAACAGAAUCUCAUUGUGCCAUCUCACAUUGCCAAUAUAUGCCCAGCACCUCAAAGUAGUAUUAUAGCCUCUAUCACUCAAAUAACCUGAUACAAUUUGUCUCCUAUCAUUUCAAAUGUGAUUGCCUUCUAUUCCGCAUUAUUUAAAGUUGUUGCCGAAACCUUCCCUCAUCAUAUGAGCUGCUAGCCCGCGCGCACUAGCUAAUUUUUGUUCACCCUUUCUUCCCUAUAAUCUUUCUCUCUGCUUUUACUUCGCGGUCCUGUAGCUGUAUAUUAGGAUGAUAUGCUGAGCACAUAUAAGAUCGUCACAAGCAAGAUAGCUGGACUAUGGAGUGCCUAGGGCAGUGGUAAUUCAUAAAUUGCAUGAUGUUUAAUGGGAAGCAUUUGAGAGUACCAAUGUCCAGUAGUAAGAUCUGAUUUUAUAGGUGAUCAAGCCAAUAUAAGUGUACGUGCAUCCCCUUUUAGUACAGAUUUAUAAAAAAUAUGAUAUAUGCUAUGAUAUUUUCCAGAACAGUUGGCCCUUGAUCUUGAGGCACUCAUGUGUAUUGCUUUUCUUCCUAGAGAAAUACAUGUCUAUUGAUUAUUAUUGGAAUUGGUUUGAAGAAACAGAGUAUGAUCUUCUUUCACAAGUAGUGAUCAUAAAACAACAGGGAGAGGCGUUUUAGCUCCCGGAGGGUGUUUCAGCGGUGUGCUCGAGGACGAGCGUUGACAGCGCGGGUGUCCUAUUUCCAGCGGCGCAGACAUGGCGAUGGAUUUCUCCAUCUCUCCGGUAGACAG